rnacentral:rRNA from 1 species
AUUAGAUAGAAAUAUAUGGGUGAGAGAGAAGAUACCUUGAUACUGAGCCAGUGAGGGGAUGGAGUCAGGAAGAAGAGCUGGCGCGUGUAGCCGUCUGGGCUGCGUAUUCUCUAACAACUCUGUGCCGCGGGUCUUCGGAUCUGUCGCGAACCCAUCGGAGUCCGGCAUGGUGGAGGCCAGACGGUGACCUAGGCAGUUGUGCGCGAGGCGGCCGCGGCCAUCGACGAGGACGACUAGCGACGGCCGACGAAUCCCUGCGAUGAUGCGCCGCGCGACGUUGGGCCUGGCCGGGAGGCGGAUCCACGCGACCUUGAAGCCGGAGCGGAAGACAGGAGGUAGGGAGAAGAAGCUGUGGAGGGGAGCCAACACCGGAUCUGGCCAGGACCGCCGACAGCGUCGCUCGCCGGCUGGAGAGGUCGAGA